AUCAUAGUCUGAGACCCCGAAACUAGACGAGCUACUCCGAAGCAGUCUAAAAGGACUAACCCGUCUCUGUGGCAAAAGAGUGGGAAGACUUCCGAGUAGAGGUGAAAAGCCUACCGAGCCUAGUUAUAGCUGGUUGCUUAAGAAAAGAAUAUGAGUUCAGCCUUAUAAGUUUCUCAAAAAUCAAAAUGAAAGAAUAAAGUAACACAUAAGAGUUAGUCGAAGGGGGUACAGCUCCUUCGAAAAAGAACACAACCUUACCCAGGUAAAUAAGGAUUAUACUAAAAAAGGACAUGACUUUCAACAGUGGGCCCGAAAGCAGCCACCUCUAAUAGAAAGCGUUAAAGCUCAAGAACAGCCACACCAAAAAUAAAAAUAACCACUCCUAAUUUCCUAAUAAUAUUAAGCUACCCUAUUUUAUAGGAGAAAUUAUGCUAAAAUGAGUAAUAAGAGAAACUAGACCCUCUCCGGGCACACAUGUAAAUUAGAGCGGACAAACCACUGACAACUAACGGACCCAAAAAAGAGGGUAAAACAACAAAACUCAAUAAACAAGAAAAACCUAUUAAAACAACCGUUAACCCAACACAGGAGUGCCACUUAAGGAAAGACUAAAAGGGGAAGAAGGAACUCGGCAAACACAAACCUCGCCUGUUUACCAAAAACACCGCCUCCUGCAAAUAGAAUGUAUUGGAGGUCCUGCCUGCCCAGUGACAAUAGGUUCAACGGCCGCGGUAUUUUGACCGUGCAAAGGUAGCGUAAUCACCUGUCUUUUAAAUAAAGACCUGUAUGAAUGGCAAGACGAGGGUUUUACUGUCUCCUCCCCCCAGUCAAUGAAAUUGAUCUACCCGUGCAGAAGCGGGUAUAAAAACAUAAGACGAGAAGACCCUAUGGAGCUUUAGGCACACAUCAAAUAUGUAAAAAACCAAAUCUUCCAAAUAGGCCUAAAAAAUGAGAAAAACAAGUUUUAAUGAUUAAUUGCCUUCGGUUGGGGCGACCACGGGGAAAAAUAAAACCCCCACAUGGAAUGGGUAAAAUUAUCCUAAGCCAAGAAAAACAAUUCUAAGCAACAAAAUUUUUGACCAAUAAACGACCCAGGGACAACAUCCCUGAGCAAUGAACCAAGUUACCCUAGGGAUAACAGCGCAAUCCUUUCCCAGAGCCCAUAUCAACGAAAGGGUUUACGACCUCGAUGUUGGAUCAGGGCAUCCUAACGGUGCAGCCGCUGUUAAGGGUUC
rnacentral:rRNA from 1 species